rnacentral:rRNA from 1 species
GAUGAACGCUAGCGGCAGGCCUAACACAUGCAAGUCGAGGGGUAGCAGGAUUAAGCUUGCUUAAUUGCUGACGACCGGCGCACGGGUGCGUAACGCGUAUGCAACCUACCUUAUACUGGGGUAUAGCCCGGAGAAAUUCGGAUUAAUCCCCCAUAGUACUAAUGAAUCGCAUGGUUUAUUAGUUAAAGCAUUGCGGUAUAAGAUGGGCAUGCGUCCUAUUAGCUAGAUGGUGAGGUAACGGCUCACCAUGGCUACGAUAGGUAGGGGGCCUGGGAGGGUGGUCCCCCACACUGGUACUGAAACACGGACCAGACUCCUACGGGAGGCAGCAGUGGGGAAUAUUGGUCAAUGGGCGCAAGCCUGACCCAGCCAUGCCGCGUGCAGGAAGAAUGCCCUAUGGGUUGUAAACUGCUUUUAUUUGGGAAUAAACCUCUUUACGUGUAGAGAGCUGAAGGUACCAAAUGAAUAAGCACCGGCUAACUACGUGCCAGCAGCCGCCGUAA